AAUGUUGUAAUGAUGACUGCAUAGUUCAUCUGAAACUCUGAUGAACAAACCAGAGGAAUUUUCGCCCCUAUCUGAAAAGCAAC